AACGCGAAGAACCUUACCUAGACUUGACAUCUCCUGAAUUACCCUUAAUCGGGGAAGCCCUUCGGGGCAGGAAGACAGGUGGUGCAUGGUUGUCGUCAGCUCGUGUCGUGAGAUGUUGGGUUAAGUCCCGCAACGAGCGCAACCCUUAUUGUUAGUUGCUACCACUUAGUUGAGCACUCUAGCGAGACUGCCCGGGUUAACCGGGAGGAAGGUGGGGAUGACGUCAAAUCAUCAUGCCCCUUAUGUCUAGGGCUACACACGUGCUACAAUGGCUGGUACAGAGAGAUGCUAAACCGUGAGGUGGAGCCAAACUUUAAAACCAGUCUCAGUUCGGAUUGUAGGCUGAAACUCGCCUACAUGAAGCUGGAGUUGCUAGUAAUCGCGAAUCAGAAUGUCGCGGUGAAUACGUUCCCGGGCCUUGUACACACCG
rnacentral:rRNA from 1 species